CUUCUCCCGCCUGGGUCAUUUUAAAGUCUCCCGAGCCAGCCACCCCUUCCCUAGAACGGCCUGGCUAGAUUCCUCUGUGGAGCUUUCAGAUUUUUAUCCCUUGUUGGCAAGGAGGUCUUCUUACUCCAAGGUCCCUUGCUAUUGUGCAAGGGACUCCUGGAUCGCCACGGUCUAAAUGCACGGGAUUGGCUGCAGCACGACCGGCAAACCCAGCCCAGAGGAACGAUCUAGCGACCUCGGAGAGUCCAGGGGCUGCCAGCGCAGUCCCAACCCUCUGGUGACCGGGCACCCCAUCACCAAAAGAAGGCAAAGUUCCGAAGUGAAAAAUGAAGCGCCGUUCCCUUCAACAAGGUCCCUCAAGAUCGCCUUCCAGUCUCCACCCUCUGGAGAAGAGGCAAGUCAGAGGACACACAACCUAGAGCCAAACUGACCAUGUGAUUGGAGAGUUGGAACUUUCAGUCCCACACCCCUGAUCUUUGGGGAGGACAAAGGAACUGGAGAUUGAGAUCACCAAUGGCCCAUGAUUCAUCAAUCAUGCCUUUGUCACGAAGCCUACAUAAAAACCAGAAAGGACUGGAGGCCAGGAAAGGAGUUUGAAGAACUUCCAGGUUGCUGAACACUUGGAGAUUUGGACCCAGAGAGAGUGAAAGCUCUGCACCCCUACCUGGUAUCUUGCCCUAUAUAUGCAUCUCUCCUGUCUGGCAGUUCCUAAGUUAUAUCCUUUUAUAAUAAUCUAAUAAACUGAGGCUCAAAGAGGUUGUGACUUUUCUGAGGUCGUACAGCCAGGACCCAUACAGCUGGGACUUGUGCUCGGACUUCUGGCUGGCCAUCCUAUGCACUUUCUCCUGCACCUGCUGGCUUCCUGCAUUAAAAAGAGGACAAGAUGCUCCCUGGGCACCCAUGCUUUAUUGUCACAUCUACUGAACUCAUUGGUGGGUGAGCCGUAUCCAUUUCCUGAGCUCCUAAAACAUGAGACAGAACAUGUUCAAAAGGUGGUGCAUAAUUAUAGAUAACAUAUAGGCAUUUAGGCUGAGUCAGGUGCUUUGCUAGGCCUUCAAGAGAUCUUAUCUCUAAUACUCUUAUCUGCCAUAAAGGGAUAGGUGUUAUGCCUAUUUACAGAUGAGGAAGUAGCCUCAGAGAAGCUAGUUUGCGCAAGGUCACCUGCUGUAUCUGGAAAUUCUCUAGCCCCUCACUGUGGGGGUUGGAAACAGUGCACUGUGCACAGGGUUUGACAUCAGACACGCCGUGGUUCAAGUACUGGCCUCUCCACCUGCCUGCUGUAUGACCAUGAGCUCUGAACAUGUUCUCACAUCUGAAAAAUGAAAGAAGGAACCUCUCAUUCAGAGAGUGCUCUCCAGGGGACUAAAUAUCAGGCCCACCCAAGGUCAGGCUGGUGGGAAUGGUGGCUGGGCACCCAGCAGAUCCAAGAAGGUGCCAAUGGCCGUGAGGCUGGGAGAAGAGGGCCAGGUAGGAAAGCAGUGUGUGUGCCAGAGGGGACGGUGUUUCAACCUCAGCAUUUUCUCCUUUGUUAGUCUGGUCAGGUGGUGCCAGCAAAAAUCUGUAGUUGUAGAUUUUGGAAAACAAGGUGUGGUUUCUUCAAAAUUUCUUAGGCAUAAUAAAAUCCUCCACUGAAGCCAAUUUAUUAUCUGCCUGUUUAUUACAAUUCAACACCUUUGUGUCUGUCUGUCUGUUUGUCUGUCUGUGUCUCUCUUUCUCCACAUCCCAGUAUUUAGUAGAAGAUUCUUUGUAGGGUACAGUCCUCCCUGUAUGACCCCUGGCCUGCAAGGUGAAAGUGGGCAGUAUGCUCAAGGCCAUACCGCAUGCCUCGGCAUGUGCCUGAGUUUGGUAGCUUGAGCUCCAACCAGAGAGAGCACUUUAGAAAUGAAAAUGCACUGUCAUCCCAACAGUGAAUGGUGUGCGAUGCUCUGUGCCAAGCCACAGCCCAGAGGCAAGGCACAUGGU